rnacentral:rRNA from 1 species
CAGAGAUUUCCGAAUGGGGAAACCCAGCAUGAGUUAUGUCAUGUUAUCGAUAUGUGAAUACAUAGCAUAUCAGAAGGCACACCCGGAGAACUGAAACAUCUUAGUACCCGGAGGAAGAGAAAGAAAAUUCGAUUCCCUUAGUAGCGGCGAGCGAAACGGGAAGAGCCCAAACCAACAAGCUUGCUUGUUGGGGUUGUAGGACACUCUAUACGGAGUUACAAAGGACGACAUUAGACGAAUCAUCUG